GGCUGGUUAGCUCAGUCAGUUGAGUGUGGUGCUUACAACGUCAAGGUCGUGGGUUUGAUUCCCAUUCGGUCC
rnacentral:tRNA from 1 species